AUUGAACGCUGGCGGCAUGCCUUACACAUGCAAGUCGAACGGUAACGCGGGGCAACCUGGCGACGAGUGGCGAACGGGUGAGUAAUGCAUCGGAACGUGCCCAGUAGUGGGGGAUAGCCCGGCGAAAGCCGGAUUAAUACCGCAUACGACCUACGGGUGAAAGCGGGGGACCGUAAGGCCUCGCGCUAUUGGAGCGGCCGAUGUCAGAUUAGGUUGUUGGUGGGGUAAAAGCCUACCAAGCCGACGAUCUGUAGCUGGUCUGAGAGGACGACCAGCCACACUGGGACUGAGACACGGCCCAGACUCCUACGGGAGGCAGCAGUGGGGAAUUUUGGACAAUGGGGGCAACCCUGACCCAGCCAUGCCGCGUGCGGGAAGAAGGCCUUCGGGUUGUAAACCGCUUUUGUCAGGGAAGAAACGCUCUGGGCUAAUACCCCGGGGUAAUGACGGUACCUGAGGAAUAAGCACCGGCUAACUACGUGCCAGCCGCCGCCGUAAAAC
rnacentral:rRNA from 1 species